CGUCAGCUCAAGUGCUUUCCACGAAAGUUUCCAUUCCCCCUGCCAGAUCAGGAGGCAGGGAGGGUGUGCAGCUCCCCUAGCUCCAGGGCCAGAGGGACUGUCCGGGCCAGGCGGAAGGCCCCUAUUGGGUAGAGAGAAUGUGUUACCAGCAGGAACCACAGGAUAUGUGGGACCCAAACUGCUAAAGUCAAAGACCUUUGUGACCUGUAGGAUCUCAGAUACCCUUGUUGCAGCCUGCCAGUGGAGCAAAGCUUCGUGAAGUUACCUUGAUGAGCUGAUGAAGAGACUCUUUUCUCUGGCGACCACCAAGAUUUCUUUUCUCCGGGAGACCACCAAGUCAGAGUGUCUCGAUAAAUGACUUACCCAAAAUUGUAGCGUCAGCAAACGGUGGAGUCGAGAAGGCGUGUUCUGAAGUUACCGAUGAACCGUCUCUACUACAGCCUCCGCCCAAAAGGAGGUCUAAAGGAGAAGGGCCUCCCCACGCACACAGAUGGCAGGGGGAAAGAGACAAGAAUACAGGCUGGGUGGGCUUGGUGGGCCCUGAGUGUUGUCUCCGGGCCUUCAGGUCACUUUCAGAGGUUUGCGUCUUGCGUUUGGGUGAGAAGAGUAAGAUCUUAGAACUCCGUGACUUCUGAGUGAUUUCUCAGUCAGUGUUGGGUGGAAUCCAGGGGGGACAGUUAGGGCCCCCAGCCUGUUCUCCAGAAUAGGGUCUAGCACACAAAUGGGGGAGGAGAGGCAAGAGAGGAAGAAUGGAGAGUCUAAGGGAAAGCCAGAGACUCUGUCAUCCUGUCCCAGACUUGAAUCUGAUGAGAGAUGCUGGGUCCCCAGCCUGCUCUGUGAAAUGGGAAGACUGAAGACACCUCU